rnacentral:lncRNA from 1 species
UACCUUCCCGAUCGUGCGGGAAACCGGGAGUUUCAUGGCGAUCCAAACACCAGCCGAAAAGGGUACUCGCCUAUUUCAGACCACCCCCUCCUCCUCCUUUGAGUUCCAUCAACGACUAACCGAGAUUUCGCAGCCGAUCCCAAGCUCUUCUUCGGGUUUUCUCCUCCAAUUUCCGCCGGGAAGAAUCGCCCGAUCGUCGUCGGACUGAGGUAGGACCACUUUUCUUCUUCUUAGGGUCUUCUAGACACAUUUUGUCAUUAUUGGAGCCGGCGAAUCGCUGGAAAAUCGUCCGAAACAGGGUUGCCCUGUUUUGGUCUUCUUCUUCCGCGAUUCCGCCGCCACCGGUCGCCUGGUUUGACCGGGGUUGCGGCCGCCAGUGCCGCCAUUGGGUGGGUGGUUCGGCCACCGUGGCUGCCACCCCUUCUACCUGCGGGGAGGAAAGGGGAAAGGAGAAGGGGAAGACGAACUUCUCCAGUCAUGAAGGGAGAAGAGAGAGGUCUCUCUCUUCUUCCUUCCUCUCUCUCUCUCUCUCCUCUCUCUAUU